rnacentral:rRNA from 1 species
AGUGAACGCUGGCGGUAGGCCUAACACAUGCAAGUCGAACGGCAGCACAGUAAGAGCUUGCUCUUACGGGUGGCGAGUGGCGGACGGGUGAGGAAUACAUCGGAAUCUACUUUUUCGUGGGGGAUAACGUAGGGAAACUUACGCUAAUACCGCAUACGACCUACGGGUGAAAGCAGGGGAUCUUCGGACCUUGCGCGAUUGAAUGAGCCGAUGUCGGAUUAGCUAGUUGGCGGGGUAAAGGCCCACCAAGGCGACGAUCCGUAGCUGAUCUGAGAGGAUGAUCAGCCACACUGGAACUGAGACACGGUCCAGACUCCUACGGGAGGCAGCAGUGGGGAAUAUUGGACAAAGGGCACAAGCCUGAUCCAGCCAUACCGCGUGGGUGAAGAAGGCCUUCGGGUUGUAAAGCCCUUUUGUUGGGAAAGAAAAGCAGCAGGUUAAUACCCCGCUGUUCUGACGGUACCCAAAGAAUAAGCACCGGCUAACUUCGUG